AGCAACUGUCUAGUAUAUGCACUUUAUACUGUGAAACUGCGAAUGGCUCAUUAAAUCAGUUAUCGUUUAUUUGAUAGUACCUUACUACAUGGAUACCUGUGGUAAUUCUAGAGCUAAUACAUGCUAAAAACCUCGACUUCGGAAGGGGUGUAUUUAUUAGAUAAAAAACCAAUGCCCUUCGGGGCUCCUUGGUGAUUCAUAAUAACUUAACGAAUCGCAUGGCCUUGCGCCGGCGAUGGUUCAUUCAAAUUUCUGCCCUAUCAACUUUCGAUGGUAGGAUAGUGGCCUACCAUGGUGGCAACGGGUAACGGGGAAUUAGGGUUCGAUUCCGGAGAGGGAGCCUGAGAAACGGCUACCACAUCCAAGGAAGGCAGCAGGCGCGCAAAUUACCCAAUCCCGACACGGGGAGGUAGUGACAAUAAAUACUGAUACGGGGCUCUUUUGGGUCUCGUAAUUGGAAUGAGUACAAUCUAAAUCCCUUAACGAGGAACAAUUGGAGGGCAAGUCUGGUGCCAGCAGCCGCGGUAAUUCCAGCUCCAAUAGCGUAUAUUAAAGUUGUUGCAGUUAAAAAGCUCGUAGUUGAACCUUGGGUCUGGCUGGCCGGUCCGCCUCACCGCGAGUACUGGUCCGGCUGGACCUUUCCUUCUGGGGAACCUCAUGGCCUUCACUGGCUGUGGGGGGAACCAGGACUUUUACUGUGAAAAAAUUAGAGUGUUCAAAGCAGGCCUUUGCUCGAAUACAUUAGCAUGGAAUAAUAGAAUAGGACGUGCGGUUCUAUUUUGUUGGUUUCUAGGACCGCCGUAAUGAUUAAUAGGGAUAGUCGGGGGCGUCAGUAUUCAGCUGUCAGAGGUGAAAUUCUUGGAUUUGCUGAAGACUAACUACUGCGAAAGCAUUCGCCAAGGAUGUUUUCAUUAAUCAGGGAACGAAAGUUAGGGGAUCGAAGACGAUCAGAUACCGUCGUAGUCUUAACCAUAAACUAUGCCGACUAGGGAUCGGGCGGUGUUUCUAUGAUGACCCGCUCGGCACCUUACGAGAAAUCAAAGUUUUUGGGUUCUGGGGGGGAGUAUGGUCCGCAAGGGCUGAAACUUUAAAAAAAUUGACGGAAGGGGCACACCAAGGCGUUGGAACCUGGCGGGUUUAAUUUUGACUCCAAA
rnacentral:rRNA from 1 species